rnacentral:lncRNA from 1 species
UCAUACUAAACUCUAAUCUAAAAAAAAAGUUCAUACCAAACUUACAUAGGCCAGAGGCCCCAGACUUGGAACAGAUACUAAAAUGCCGAGGGGUUAAACAAGUUUUUAAAAUCUCAACCAAAUGAAGAAGAAACAAACGCACAAGCAAUACGCAUAGAAAAAAAUCACACAGUUUAAAGAAGUCAGAGUCCAAUAUCAGAAUAGGUAACAAAUCAAACAAA